GCCAAAACCCAUCAUCUUCACCUAGUCUUUCCUCCAUAGCCAAACAACACUCAAAGCUCUUCAAAAAUGGCGAAUCCUUUUUCUAUCUACUGAACCAAACCUGAAAGACUUAAUCUUUUCCGUCAGAUCAUUGACGUCGAUUCCCCCCUCUCACCGACGAUCGAAAAUAGGGUCCUAACAACCAUUGAGCAAAACCUCAAGCUAGUCGAAGAUCUAACCACCAAGGAAACUCGACAAAUCCGUGCUUUGGCUGGUAAAGUGACAGCUAAACUUUGGCCUUUGAUUCCUAAAGCCGGAGAGAAGGAUGUUGAUGAAGCCGAAGUUCUUGCAUCUCUCUACAUGGCAAAACAACAAUCUCAGGCAUUGGUAUCCUAUUUCUCUGAAUCUUUAGGGGGCACUUCCUCCGUACCCGCGUCUAGGAAGUUAAAUUUCUCUGUUCAUAUGCCUGCUCAAUUUGGUUUCUCCUGGUGGUUCUAAUUCGUCUACUCUUCCAGCUACGUCUACCAGAAUUCCUGAAGAGCCUCCAACUCUCAUUGCUCAUACGCAACUUGCUGAUACAGUUCAGUCCUCUCUAGAUCAAAUGCAUAGGUCUAUUGCUACUCAACAAGAAUCUAUUGCUAGUCUUCAAAAGAUUCUCCUUCAUUAUCGUAGCGAGAUUGCCCCCGGUUUGAGAUCGUGGCAAACCGUACCAAUCAUGUCUCUGACUCAGAUGUUGUUGCGUCUGAUCCUGCUGAAGCUUCUGAAGAUUCUGAUCCUGAUGAAGAUUCCAUUGCGUCUAAUGAUGCAACCAGCUCCUCUUGCACUCCGUCAGCCCACUGAUGUUCAACAUUGUCAAUUUUUUGGCAAAAAGGGGAGAAUAAAUUAAGGGGGAGCUUCGGUUUUUUGUGGUAAUAAUUUCUGUUUCGUAGUACUCUUUGCUUGGGUUGCCUUGGUUUGAAUUUUUUAUUUUUUUUUUGGAUAUUAUCUUGGUCUAUAGUAUGGUCUAUUGUAUAUUAUCGCAUAUGUUUGGAUG